UUAACACUUCAUGACUGAGAUCAGAACAGAAUCUUCAUCAUCACACAAACCAAAAGAACAACAAUGACUUUCAUCAUCAUCUUCAUCUGGACACUCACAGUCUUUACUCAAGUGUGUAGAGGACAGUACACUCUUACUCAGAGUCCAUCAAUAACAGUUCAACCAGGACAACAAGUUCAAAUAAACUGUAAAGUCAGCAGUGCAGUGCAUGCUGGUAGUUACUUACACUGGUACUUACAGAGACCUGGAGAAACUCCUAAACUCCUCAUAUAUUAUGCAACAAGCCUCCAGUCAGGAACUCCAUCAAGAUUCAGUGGCAGCGGAUCAAACACAGAUUUCACUUUGACCAUCAGUGGAGUUCAGACUGAAGAUUCAGGAGAUUAUUACUGUCAGAGUUUACACAUACCUAGUAGUGGUGUGUUGACACAGUGAUAAAGAGUGAUACAAAAACCUCUUUCAGUCAGACUCACAGUGACUGCACUUAUACACAUGACAGAUACUGCAGAUGAUGAUGGUCAUAAUUUAUUUAACUUACAGCUGAUUUAUUUUGUUUUAUAGUACAUUUAAAUAACAACAUUACAGAUAAUUAUACAUUUAAUAUGUAUAUUUUUUAUAGUUAUAAAUCGUAUCAUUAAUUUAUCUAUCAAUUUUUGCUGUGUUAAAGCAGCUUCAACAUGGAUGAAUUUUAUUAUUAUUGUACUACAGUUUAAUUUUAACUGAUUAUAAUCACUCAUAUAGAGAAACAUCAGUCAGUAUCACUGACCACAUUUGCUUGAACCCUCAUAAUGUGAUUAUAAUGGGAUUUUGGAAAUAUUAUGAUUAUACUGUCACGGUGAUCCGUGUCAUGUUUUGUUUGUGUCUCCGAUUACGUCACCUGGACAAUUCACGAACUGAUUCAUCACACCUGUUCCGUGUUUAGUGCUGUGUAUUUAUACUGCUGUCUGUUUCUCACCUGUCGCCGGAUCAUUGUCAUUGCCAUUACGUUCAUGUCUGUUCCUGUUCCUUCUGUUGGAUGUUCCUGUGUUUACCCGCCUGUUGUUUU